rnacentral:rRNA from 1 species
UACGGGGGGGGCAGGCGUUGUUCGGAAUUACUGGGCGUAAAGGGCUCGUAGGCGGCCAACUAAGUCAGACGUGAAAUCCCUCGGCUUAACCGGGGAACUGCAUCUGAUACUGGAUGGCUUGAGAUUGGGAGAGGGAUGCGGAAUUCCAGGUGUAGCGGUGAAAUGCGUAGAUAUCUGGAGGAACACCGGUGGCGAAGGCGGCAUCCUGGACCAACACUGACGCUGAGGAGCGAAAGCCAGGGGAGCAAACGGG